rnacentral:rRNA from 1 species
GAUUAACGCUGGCGGCGUGCAUAACACAUGCAAGUCGAACGAUGAAACUUAGUAGACUUCUUCGGAAAGACACUAAGCGGAUUAGUGGCGAACGGGUGAGUAACGCGUGAGUAACCUGCCUUACACAAGGGGAUAGCCUUUGGAAACGAAGAAUAUUACCCUAUAAAACUAUAAAAGCACAUGCUAUAAUGGUCAAAGUGAUAGCGGUGUAAGAUGGACUUGCGUCUGAUUAGCUAGUUGGUGAGAUAAAAGCUCACCAAGGCAACGAUCAGUAGCCGGCUUGAGAGAGUGUACGGCCACAUUGGGACUGAGACACGGCCCAGACUCCUACGGGAGGCAGCAGUGGGGAAUUUUGCACAAUGGGGGAAACCCUGAUGCAGCGACGCCGCGUGAUUUAGAAGGCCUUCGGGUUGUAAAAAUCUUUUGUAUAGGAAGAAAAUGACAGUACUAUACGAAUAAGGUCCGGCUAAUUACGUG